UCGCCGACCCAAAAGGCGAUUUCUCUUCUUCUCGGGGUUCUCCUCCACGAAACGUCGUCCCCUCAUGGUGGCUCUUGUCGAUGAUGGAAAUCGGCGUCCCCUCUAUCGGUUUCUCUCCUCGACCAAAGAAAACGGCGAGAUCUAUCUCGUGGUGGCUGUCGGAGACGAAGGAGAACGGUGACUGUUUCAAGCGAAUCGAAAGAUCGAUUGAUCAAGAGGCAUGAUCCAGGAUAAACCUUUCUCUUUGUCAGACGAAAACCCCAAGAUUUUUGACAAAGAUGGCAAGAUCAAGAGGCAUGCUCAAGGUUAAGGGAGGAUGAAGAAAGCAGAGAGUGAUGGUUUCUCGGUCACCGUUGCAUUGUCUUGUGAUAGUGGGCGAAACACAUACCGAUUGUUGAUAGAGAGUGGACGGUAAUGAAGACCACAUGACUCUGCUCUAUGACCACACCAAAGAAAGCUACACGAUUGUACAUAAAGGUGACCGAGUAUGUCGGAGGCAAGAGAGAGAGGUGAAGUGGUGAAGAAGAGGAAGUGUGAGGUCUGUGAUUUUAGAAGAAAACGCGAGAGAGGUGAAGUGGUGAGGAGGGGGCUGUCUGUGUAGUCACGAGAAAUGUAUGUCUGUGUGUGUCACGUUAAAUGUUUUUGUCCUUGGAGUCUUGUUUGUGUGUGUCACGAGUCUGAGUUGUUGUUGUUGUCUAUGUGUGUCACGAGUCUGAGUUGUUGUUGUUGUUGUUGUUGUCGUCCGUGUGUGUCACGAG